rnacentral:rRNA from 1 species
CUACGGGUCGCUGCAGUGAGGAAUAUUGCGCAAUGGGGGAAACCCUGACGCAGCGACGCCGCGUGGAUGAUGAAGGCCUUCGGGUUGUAAAAUCCUGUCAGAUGGGAAGAAUUGUUCCAUGUCUAAUAUAUGUGGGACUUGACGGUACCGUCAAAGGAAGCACCGGCUAACUCCGUGCCAGCAGCCGCGGUAAUACGGAGGGUGCAAGCGUUGUUCGGAAUUACUGGGCGUAAAGCGCGCGUAGGCGGUUUGUUAAGUCAGAUGUGAAAGCCCAUGGCUCAACCAUGGACGUGCAUUUGAUACUGGCAGACUUGAGUACUGGAGGGGGUGGUGGAAUUCCCGGUGUAGAGGUGAAAUUCGUAGAUAUCGGGAGGAAUACCGGUGGCGAAGGCGACCACCUGGCCAGAUACUGACGCUGAGGCGCGAAAGCGUGGGUAGCAAACAGGAUUAGAUACCCCUGUAGUC